rnacentral:rRNA from 1 species
CGGAGGGUGCAAGCGUUAUCCGGAUUCACUGGGUUUAAAGGGUGCGUAGGUGGGCUUGUAAGUCAGUGGUGAAAUCUCCGGGCUUAACCCGGAAACUGCCAUUGAUACUAUAGGUCUUGAAUUAUCUGGAGGUCAGCGGAAUAUGUCAUGUAGCGGUGAAAUGCUUAGAUAUGACAUAGAACACCAAUUGCGAAGGCAGCUGGCUACAGGUAAAUUGACACUGAGGCACGAAAGCGUGGGGAUCAAACAGGAUUAGAUACCCUGGUAGUCCACGCCCUAAACGAUGGAUACUCGACAUUUGUGAUACACAAUAAGUGUCUGAGCGAAAGCAUUAAGUAUCCCACCUGGGAAGUACGACCGCAAGGUUG